GACGAACGCUGGCGGCGUGCUUAACACAUGCAAGUCGAACGGAAAGGCCCUGCUUUUGUGGGGUGCUCGAGUGGCGAACGGGUGAGUAACACGUGAGUAACCUGCCCUUGACUUUGGGAUAACUUCAGGAAACUGGGGCUAAUACCGGAUAGGAGCUCCUGCUGCAUGGUGGGGGUUGGAAAGUUUCGGCGGUUGGGGAUGGACUCGCGGCUUAUCAGCUUGUUGGUGGGGUAGUGGCUUACCAAGGCUUUGACGGGUAGCCGGCCUGAGAGGGGGAACGGGCACAAGGGGACUGCGAGACGGCCCAGACUCCUACGGGAGGCAGCAGUGGGAAAUAUUGCACAAUGGGAGGAAGCCUGAUGCAGCAACGCCGCGGUCGGGAUGACGGCCUGCGGGUUGUAAACCGCUUUCGCCUGUGACGAAGCGGUAGUGACGGUAAUGGGUAAAGAAGCACCGGCUAACUACGUG
rnacentral:rRNA from 1 species